GAUGAACGCUGGCGGCAUGCCUGAUACAUGCAAGUCGAACGAGAGGAAGGAAAGCUUGCUUUCCUGAAUCUAGUGGCGAACGGGUGAGUAACACGUAGGUAACCUGCCCAUGUGCUCGGGAAAACUUCUGGAAACGGAUGCUAAAACCGGAAAGGUAGCAGACAAGCAUUUGACUGCUAUUAAAGUGGCCUUGGCCAUGAACAUGGAUGGACCCGCGGUGCAUUAGCUGGUUGGUGAGGUAACGGCCCACCAAGGCGACGAUGCAUAGCCGGCGUGAGAGGGCGGACGGCCACAUUGGGACUGAGACACGGCCCAAACUCCUACGGGAGGCAGCAGUAGGGAAUUUUCGUCAAUGGGGGGAACCCUGAACGAGCAAUGCCGCGUGAGUGAGGAAGGUCUUCGGAUCGUAAAGCUCUGUUGUAAGAGAAAAACGGCACUCAUAGGGAAUGAUGAGUGAGUGAUGGUAUCUUACCAGAAAGUCACGGCUAACUACGUGCCAGCCGCCGCCGUAACAC
rnacentral:rRNA from 1 species